GACGAACGCUGGCGGCGUGCUUAACACAUGCAAGUCGAACGAAGUGGCGAACGGGUGAGUAACGCGUAAUCAACCUGCCCUUCAGAGGGGGACAACAGUUGGAAACGACUGCUAAUACCGCAUACUGCAGUCGGGGAUUGCGUCGGAUUAGCUAGUUGGCGGGUUAACGGCCCACCAAGGCGAGGAUCAGUAGCCGGUCUGGGAGGAUGAACGGCCACAUUGGGACUGAGACACGGCCCAGACUCCGACGGGGGGCAGCAGUGGGGGAACUUCCGCAAUGGACGAAAGUCUGACGGAGCAACGCCGCGUGAGUGAUGACGGCCUUCGGGUUGUAAAGCUCUGUUAAUCGGGACGCGGUACCGGAAUAGAAAGCCACGGCUAACUACGUGCCAGCAGCCGCGGUAAUAC
rnacentral:rRNA from 1 species